UACAGAGGGUGCAAGCGUUAAUCGGAUUUACUGGGCGUAAAGCGUGUGUAGGUGGUUUAACAAGUCGGUUGUGAAAUCCCUGGGCUCAACCUGGGAACUGCUUCCGAGACUGUUCGACUAGAGUACGGUAGAGGGCGGUGGAAUUUCCGGUGUAGCGGUGAAAUGCGUAGAUAUCGGAAGGAACACCAAUGGCGAAGGCAGCCGCCUGGGCCUGUACUGACACUGAGACACGAAAGCGUGGGGAUCAAAC
rnacentral:rRNA from 2 species